GGACGAAAGUCUGAUGGAGCAACGCCGCGCGAGCGAAGAAGGCCUUCGGGUCGUAAAGCUCUGUUGUUAGGGAAGAACAAGUACCGGAGUAACUGCCGGUACCUUGACGGUACCUAACCAGAAAGCCACGGCUAACUACGUGCCAGCAGCCGCGGUAAUACGUAGGUGGCAAGCGUUGUCCGGAAUUAUUGGGCGUAAAGCGCGCGCAGGCGGUCCUUUAAGUCUGAUGUGAAAGCCCACGGCUCAACCGUGGAGGGUCAUUGGAAACUGGGGGACUUGAGUGCAGAAGAGGAAAGCGGAAUUCCACGUGUAGCGGUGAAAUGCGUAGAGAUGUGGAGGAACACCAGUGGCGAAGGCGGCUUUCUGGUCUGUAACUGACGCUGAGGCGCGAAAGCGUGGGGAGCAAACAGGAUUAGAUACCCUGGUAGUCCACGCCGUAAACGAUGAGUGCUAAGUGUUAGGGGGUUUCCGCCCCUUAGUGCUGCAGCUAACGCAUUAAGCACUCCGCCUGGCGAGUACGGCC
rnacentral:rRNA from 1 species